GGAUUUGCUGGUUAUUCUUCUGAAGAAUGUGUCCAAGAUGAUGAUCAGGAUAGUGCAGGAGAGGACCUUGAUGCUUCAGUUAAGCCAUCUCAUGGUACUCACACGAGCAAUUUGAAUUGUCAUGCAUCUGCUUUCAUUCCCAGGAAUUCACCAGCUUUUGCUAAGUCAAAUGCAACAACUGGAAGAUUACCUCAACGCGUAGCAGCUUCUUCUCCAGGUGUUCUUAACAAUUAUCCAACAAGAAGGUUAAAUCAAGCUGCUACAACAGGACAUACACAGAUUGAUAAUGCAGAUCAAGGGAAUUCUGGGCAGCAGCAAAUGGUAACGUCGUCUACAGUUGCAACAACAGCUACUACUCCAGUAGCUAGUCCUAAAGGUGAUCGAGAAGAGGCUAAAUCAAGCUGCUGCAACAGGACAUACACAGAUUGAUAAUGCAGAUCAAGGGAAUUUUGGGCAGCAGCAAAUGGUAACCUCGUCUACAGUUGCAACAACAGCUACAACUCCAGUAGCUAG
rnacentral:lncRNA from 1 species